rnacentral:rRNA from 1 species
AUUGAACGCUGGCGGCAUGCCUUACACAUGCAAGUCGAACGGCAGCACGGGUGCUUGCACCUGGCGGCGAGUGGCGAACGGGUGAGUAAUACAUCGGAACGUACCUUAUCGUGGGGGAUAACGCAGCGAAAGCUGUGCUAAUACCGCAUACGCCCUGAGGGGGAAAGCGGGGGAUCGCAAGACCUCGCGCGAUUAGAGCGGCCGAUGCCUGAUUAGCUAGUUGGUGGGGUAAAAGCCCACCAAGGCGACGAUCAGUAGCUGGUCUGAGAGGACGAUCAGCCACACUGGGACUGAGACACGGCCCAGACUCCUACGGGAGGCAGCAGUGGGGAAUUUUGGACAAUGGGGGCAACCCUGAUCCAGCAAUGCCGCGUGAGUGAAGAAGGCCUUCGGGUUGUACAGCUCUUUUGUCAGGGAAGAAACACCGGCUCUAACACAGUCCGGGAAUGACGGUACCUGAAGAAUAAGCACCGGCUAACUACGUGCCAGCAGCCGCCGUAA